CAAGCCUUAUAACAUUGAGAACAUCGGUUCUCAUCCAAUCACCAAAGUUAAGCAAUGUUGAGCCUGGUCAGUAAUUGGGAGGGUGAUACAUAACCCAGUCAAUGGCAUAAAGU